rnacentral:lncRNA from 1 species
AGGCAUGGUCCUUGCUAGGGCACUGCAAUUGCACUCAUCCUCAGAUUUCCGGUCUGUUUUCCCGCGGGAAGUUCAUGUCCAUGCUCCUGGUACCCAAGCCUUUUCCGCUAGGCGCGACUGAGGCUGGGUCCAGCUUCCUCCUUUCACUUCACCCUUAAUCUUACUGGACUUGAAGCUGAGAGCCUUCCCGACUGGCAUCUUUUGGCCGCGCCAGCCGCCGUCAGGAUGUCUUCUUCCCCGCUCCCCGCUUCCUCACCCCCCACCCCCCACCCCGCGCGUGGUACGCUGGGACUCGCAGUCCUCCGCUUGGCGUGCAGAAGGCCACGUACCAUUGGCGGGUUUCUUCGCCACGUGAUGUUUGGAUGACCGGCUUGCUGCUACACGCCCCACCUCCCCGAAUGUUGGAGCACGCCCCAGAGGUGAGGCAGGGCCAGGAGUGUCCCCUGAAGGCAGCCAGAUACCAGAAGCCACCUUGCCUUCCAUGGGCCAAGGAAAGACUCUACCACUGGGCUCCAUGGCUGAUGGCAGGACCUAGCACACCACUCAUGCCAAAGGAAGGAAGCCCAACCUCUGCCUUCAGAAGACUACGGUCAUCAAGCACCACCAGCUGCUGUCUGAGUCAGGGCUGCUGAAAUCUGAGCCCAUCCACAGGCACCACAUGUGGAUCCAGAUCCUACAGGCCUGGGCCACUGCCACCAAGAUGCGGUGGGACUCAAAGCACAAGUGGGUCGACCCUGUGUGCUGUUGUGUGGCACAAGUUGGGUGAACUCCCAAAGGUGCCUCUUGGCCCAGCCUCUGGCCUCAGCUCUGUCUCACACCCGUGGAGCAGGCAGUAGCUAAGAUGUUCCUGUGUCAGGCCCUGCUCCCUGAGGGUUUCUGCCAGGGCUGCCCACAGGCAGCUUGUCUGCCGGACCACCAGUCUGGCCUGUAGAAAGGUGGCCCUGCCUUAACUGCCUAGCGUGUACCUUCCUUCUAGGCGACCGGCUCUUGCCUUUUCUCCUCACUGUCCUCACUACCUCUGUAACCAUCUGGAAUGUUCUUAUUCAGUCGUUCUCUGCUCCAGUCACUCGUUCACUUGUCCACCCAUCCAUCUGCUCACCUCAAGAUGCUUUCAAGAUCGGUGACACUUGUGACUGACUGACCGCCUUGCUAGCUCUCAGCUCUUCCAACGUCUUACCCAGUUCUGGACAGAACUGAGUGGAGACAGAGUUCCCUGCUGGGACCUCAGUCACUUGGGCUAUGAUAUAAGAUACACGUUGGCACACAGCUAAGACACAGCCCCCUUCACACAGGGCUCUAACAUGCUAGCCCCAUCUGAUGUACCGAUACUGUUCUGACCCAUCUCUGCCACACAGAAUGCUCAGUAACUUCUGAUUUAUCCUCAGAGCUGGGGUGUGAAACAUGCAGUGCUGCCAGUUACUUUUAAAAAACGAGAUGGGGCCUCACUGCGUGCUGCAGGCUGGCCCAAACUCCUGGGUUCAGGUGACCCUCUCUCCGCAGCCACCCAGGAGUGGGAGGAACAGGUGUGAGAGAUACUGUGCUGGCCCUGCAUGCUUAUCAUCCUUAGCAGAGAUGUCCUUCCUGGCAGGCCCAUCACUGCAGCGUUGGGUGGGUGCAAGCAGGACCGGGAAGGUGGAGUCUACUCACAGCCAGUCUUAGUCUUCCAGGCUGGGCUUUGAUUGGCCCCUGGCAGCUUGAGGAGGCCAACAGAGGUAAGUGCAGGCUCGAAGCCCUGGAGCAUAUUCGGUGGGGUGCAGGCACUGGGGUAGCCAGGCUGAUGUGUGGACGUGAAUAGUGCCAGGGCUGUGGCAGCUACAGAUGAACUGGACAGGAGGUCCGGUCCCUGUGUGUGGUUCUGACUGCCGGGGUGUGUGACUGCUGUCCAGACAGGUCACAGCACAAAGGCUAGGCAUGGUUCCCGGAGCUCAGGGCUAGCUUGGGAUACCUGCUCAGAUUUACCCUCCCAACCACUGCCCAAGUGAGGACAGAAGACUGAGAUAUCCCAUGCCUGUGGUUGUGACAAUACUGGCAGUACUUAAGAGGGGGUCUGGGCAGAGCUUGAGGCUGGCCCCUAUUAUUUAUCUAUUGUAUUCUGCCCCCCCUGUCUUCCGCCUUCCCUCCCUUCUUUCCUUCUUCACUGCCCCUCUGUUUCUCUGUGUGUGUAUUCAUUCAAGUGCAUGUGUGUAUGUGUGUGUAUAUGUGUGUGUGUUUAUGUGCAUACUGUGUAUUCAUGUGCAUGUGGGCAUAUGAGGUUAACCUAGGGUUGCUGCGUUCCAUGGGAGCCAAUCACCUUGUUUUUUUGAGGCAAGAUCUCCCUUUGGCCUGGAGCUUGCUGAUUAGGCUGACUGGUCAGUAAGUCCAUCUGUCUCUACAUCCCAGUGCUCGGAUCCCCAGUACCCCUCCAUACCUGGCCUUUUAUGUGGUUUGGGGGAUGGAGUUCACAGCCCUUGUGCUUACACAGUGAGUGCUUCACCCAUGAAGCUGUGUCUUUAUCCCCUUAUAGAGAUAAUAUUCGUGUAUUGAAAUUCUCCAUCUUAUCCCCCAACCCACACUUUUGUUCCUUCCAGUCCUGUACAUGCCAGGCACCUGCUUUACCCCGGACUAAACCUCCAGCUUUUCCCCCUUUUCCAAAUGCAAUUUUCAUGGUUUUCACCAUCUCUUUUCCUCUGCGCGUCUGUUACCCGCUCCAACUCCAGUGCAUCCCUGUGAUUCCCGAGACAGUCUGUACCUUUGGUAGCUGAUGUAGUCCCUUCCUCUGCUCUAGCCCUCGACAGCCCAUGGACUGUCUGCCUUGUCUUUGCUUCUGGUGGUUCCUCUAAAUAGUACGUUCCUGCUGUGUGUCUUCUCUGCGACUUGGAGGUUUUACUCCUCUGUGGAUGGAGGUUUGUCUACCAUGGUCUUAGGAAUCAGUGUGCCACAAGCUCUGUGGUGGCGCCUUCCUCACUCUGACUUAACUUAUUCCUCAUGACCUUGCUGCCCACAUCUUCAUUAAUAGCUGUCUGCUUUCCUGGGGUGCAUUAUGCCCUGAGUCUGGGCACAGGCUUUGUCCUGCCCUGGCACUGCUGUGGCAUAAGCUCACUCAUGCCACCUCACCAGUCUCAUUGUUUGUUCCGCUUGGUAAGCUGUCCCCAGCCUUCUUUGGUCCUCGGUCCAGUAUGCUUUGGGAGCUAGGCUCUCAUCAUACCUGCUAGGGACAUUAAUGUUUGGCAUCAGGUGUGUAAGAUCACAGGGAGGAGCAGAGCUUGUAAGGACACGGGUGUGGAACUUCUGGCUAGUGAGGAGCCCAGUAGCAUGCCAGUGCAUGAGCCCACGUAGUCUGAGGCCCUGCCCUAUGGCAGUCUCAUCUUUGGCGUUUCUUCUUAGCAGAUCCCCCUUGGAGCUCAAUUCCUGAUCCCAUAGGCUCCCGAGUCUUGUCCGGAAGCCUUUGAGCACAGCCUGCCUCCUCAGGGAUCCACAAGCAUUCUUUCACCCUGAAGACCAUCGCCCACUAUGCAUGUGCUUGCGGCUUCUCAGCUUGGCUCACACCAGGAAACUCUCCUCUUCUUGCUUGCACAGACAGCACUGUGCACAGAGCCGGCAAUCACCUUGGGCAAGUACUGCUGAGAGCCAAGAGCAUCCUUUAGUGCCACUCCUUGGUGAAGCAGUUUAUGCCUUUUUGUAGAUCUGACUUUGUCCUCUGCCUCCAGAGAGCCUCCACAGCUGUUCACUAAGGCCUUUGGUUUGCCUUGAAACAUGGAAAAGGAUAGAGCUGCAUGCAGCAGCAGGUAGGGGUGGGUGGCCAGUCUUCGGGAUGCUCAGUCGCCACACGUUAUUAAUCUAUAUCCCUUUCCUGCCGCAAGCUGACCACGACGUGUGCUGUUGCAAGACAUGUGAGGGUGUGCUGGAUAGUUUUAUGUCAUCUUGACAUAAAGUCAUCUGAGAGGAGGGGACCUCGUGAGAUCAGGCUGCAGGCAUGUCUGUAGGGUAUUUUCUUAAUUAGAGAAUGAUGGGGGAGGGCCCAGCCCAUCGUGGGUGAUGUCAUCCCCAGGCUGGUGGCCCUGGGUUCUAUAAGAAAGCAGGCUAAGCAAGCCAGAGGGAGAAAGCCAGUAAGCAGCACUCCUCCACGGCCUCUGCAUCAGCUCCUGCCUCCAGGCUCUUGCCCUGUUCGAAUUCCUGUCUGAUCCCCUUCAGUGAUGAACAGUGAUGCAGACACAUAAGCCAGAUAAAUCCAUUCGUCCCCAGGUUGCUUUGGUCCAGCUGUUUCAUCACAACAAUGUUAACCCUAACUAGGAUGGAAGGGACACAGGUCAGGGACACCCCCUUCCUCCUAGUGCUCAGGAUGUUGAUUGUGCCCGUCACACCAAAGGCCAGAGUAAAACAUGGAGGAAGGAGGAAAGCAUCAAGAGGCUGACCUUUUAUUUUAUAUUUUACCGAGUGUGCGAGUCAGUACCUAGGUAGAGUAAAAGAGGCUUCCCUAAGCCGGUGCAUCCUGUUUUUUCUAGGAAGAACCGAGGCACGGGGUCCCCCUCUUGACCUCUCUUGAGGAUGGGGCAGAGCCGUGGUAUGGCUUCCUUCUGGCUUUGUGAAAGCCAGGCCUCCUGGACAGUGGCUGCCCCCAGGGAGUUCUUGAAGCCUCAGGAGACAGACUUGUCAUAGUUCCCAGUCUGAUCUGCGUAUGCUAUGUGGAGCCGUGCUGUACAUUGUGUUUCUGCUGAACCUCAUGAGUCCAGCAGGGGCCUGACCGAGUGAGGUGAGACAAUGGAAGGUGUCUGUGCUGAGGUUUAGCCAGGGGACCAUGCCCCAGGAGCCACACUGCCAGGUGUUCGUGGUUACCUGCUGUCCUUAGGGUGUGCCCUGAGUUGUACUUUAUACUGAUCUCAGCAUGGCCUGCUGACCUCGCUAGGCUAGGUGAGCCUUGGGCUGGGUAGCUGGGCAUGGGACAUCGGGGCAGGGUGGAAGCAGGCAUGGUGGCUCUGAUGGAGAAUAGAGGUGCAUUACUCGGCCUAUGCUCUGCUUCAUCCAAGUGUCCACAGGUGCAUGACCACAUAUAGUGCAUGUACAUGUCAUAUGUAUAUAGUACACCUCUGUGACACCUGCCAGCCGCCAUGUCACACCCACCAAUGGAGGGAGAGGGCUUCCCGUGCUAUAACUGUGGCUUCUCCCUGGCCACACGGAUUCCAAGAUUGACUACUUUUGACACUUAGUCUCCAGCUCCUCACUCCUGGCUCUGGCCCCCUGACCUUCCUUCCUGCUCAGUUGGGAGCGCAGUUUAUGAUGGCUUCAUCUCUGGGUCCCAUCCUCUCGAUGUAUUUUCUUUGUUUCCAGGAUCAUUGUGAAAAGUUUGUAUGGCAAAGGUUUCUACUUUUUCCUGAUUCUUUGUGAAUUUCCCAUCAUGCACCCCGAUCCAACUCAUUAUACCCCCGUC